CCUACGGGUGGCAGCAGUGGGGGAUAUUGGACAAUGGGGGGAACGCUGAUCCAGCGACGCCGCGUGAGUGAAGAAGUAUCUCGGUAUGUAAAGCUCUAUCAGCAGGGAAGAAGAAAUGACGGUACCUGAGUAAGAAGCCCCGGCUAACUACGUGCCAGCCGCCGCGGUAAUACGUAGGGGGCAAGCGUUAUCCGGAAUUACUGGGUGUAACGGGAGCUUAGACGGUGAUGUAAGUUUGGAGGGAAAGGCGGGGGCCCAACGCCCGGACUGCCCUGGAAACUAUGUGACUGGAGUGCAGGAGAGGUGAGCGGAAUGCGUAGUGUAGCGGUGAAAUGCGUAGAUAUUAGGAGGAACACCAGUGGCGAAGGCGGCUCACUGGACUGUCACUGACGUUGAGGCUCGAAAGCGUGGGGAGCAAACAGGAUUAGAUACCCGGGUAGUC
rnacentral:rRNA from 1 species